UUCUGGCUCAGGAUGAACGCUGGCGGCGUGCCUAACACAUGCAAGUCGAGCGAUUACUUCGGUAAAGAGCGGCGGACGGGUGAGUAACGCGUGGGUAACCUGCCUCAUACACAUGGAUAACAUACCGAAAGGUAUGCUAAUACAGGAUAAUAUAAGAGAUUCACAUGGAUUUUUUAUCAAAGCUCCGGCGGUAUGAGAUGGACCCGCGUCUGAUUAGCUAGUUGGUAAGGUAAUGGCUUACCAAGGCGACGAUCAGUAGCCGACCUGAGAGGGUGAUCGGCCACAUUGGAACUGAGACACGGUCCAAACUCCUACGGGAGGCAGCAGUGGGGAAUAUUGCACAAUGGGCGAAAGCCUGAUGCAGCAACGCCGCGUGAGUGAUGAAGGCCUUCGGGUCGUAAAACUCUGUCCUCAAGGAAGAUAAUGACGGUACUUGAGGAGGAAGCCCCGGCUAACUACGUGCCAGCCGCAGC
rnacentral:rRNA from 1 species